UACGAAGGGGGCUAGCGUUGCUCGGAAUUACUGGGCGUAAAGCGCACGUAGGCGGACCGGACAGUCAGAGGUGAAAUCCCAGGGCUCAACCUUGGAACUGCCUUUGAAACUAUCGGUCUGGAGUUCGAGAGAGGUGAGUGGAAUUCCGAGUGUAGAGGUGAAAUUCGUAGAUAUUCGGAGGAACACCAGUGGCGAAGGCGGCUCACUGGCUCGAUACUGACGCUGAGGUGCGAAAGCGUGGGGAGCAAACAGG
rnacentral:rRNA from 1 species